GUAGGGAGCAAGCGUUAUCCGGAUUUAUUGGGUGCAAAGGGUGCGUAGACGGGAAAUUAAGUUAGUUGUGAAAUCCCUCGGCUUAACUGAGGAACUGCAACUAAAACUGAUUUUCUUGAGUGUUGGAGAGGAAAGUGGAAUUCCUAGUGUAGCGGUGAAAUGCGUAGAUAUUAGGAGGAACACCAGUGGCGAAGGCGACUUUCUGGACAAUAACUGACGUUGAGGCACGAAAGUGUGGGGAGCAAACAGGAUUAGAUACCCUGGUAGUCCACACCGUAAACGAUGGAUACUAGGUGUAGGAUGUGAUAAACAUUCUGUGCCGUCGCAAACGCAGUAAGUAUCCCACCUGGGGAGUACGGCCGCAAGGUUG
rnacentral:rRNA from 1 species